rnacentral:rRNA from 1 species
AUUGAACGCUGGCGGCAUGCCUUACACAUGCAAGUCGAACGGUAACAGGUCUUCGGAUGCUGACGAGUGGCGAACGGGUGAGUAAUACAUCGGAACGUGCCCGAUCGUGGGGGAUAACUACUCGAAAGAGUAGCUAAUACCGCAUACGAUCUACGGAUGAAAGCGGGGGAUCUUCGGACCUCGUGCGGACGGAGCGGCCGAUGGCAGAUUAGGUAGUUGGUGGGAUAAAAGCUUACCAAGCCGACGAUCUGUAGCUGGUCUGAGAGGACGACCAGCCACACUGGGACUGAGACACGGCCCAGACUCCUACGGGAGGCAGCAGUGGGGAAUUUUGGACAAUGGGCGAAAGCCUGAUCCAGCAAUGCCGCGUGCAGGAUGAAGGCCUUCGGGUUGUAAACUGCUUUUGUACGGAACGAAAAGACUCCUUCUAAUACAGGGGGUCCAUGACGGUACCGUAAGAAUAAGCACCGGCUAACUACGUGCCAGCCGCCGCCGUAAGAC